UAUGACAUUAAUUUAUUUUGACACAUUGUUAGUGUAAAAUUCAGUAAAAGUCCAUUGUUAUUGUAUAAUUCAAUAAAAGGCCUAUUCAUUUUAGGUUGUAAAUAAUCAAAUUUCAAAAUGGGCCAAAGAAUUUGUAUCCAAUUAGAAGCUGUUAAUGGGCUUGUGGGUUGAAGGCCCUGUGUUUGAAAUAUAGCCCUAAAGACAUUUUGAAUGGAACAUUUACGUCUUUCGGAACUAACUUGCGAGAACGAAGAGAGAGCUUUCUUCAAGAUCUUUGGCAAACGAAUCCACAGUUAUAAGGAUGUAUGGUUUUGCAUGUUACAUGGAGGACAACCAAAGAAAAUGUUUGGUUCUCCCAAAAAAAUAUAAAGAAUGGAUAAC